rnacentral:rRNA from 1 species
CCUACGGGUGGCUGCAGUGGGGAAUAUUGCACAAUGGGCGCAAGCCUGAUGCAGCCAUGCCGCGUGUGUGAAGAAGGCCUUCGGGUUGUAAAGCACUUUCAGCGGGGAGGAAGGCGGUGAGGUUAAUAACCUCAUCGAUUGACGUUACCCGCAGAAGAAGCACCGGCUAACUCCGUGCCAGCAGCCGCGGUAAUACGGAGGGUGCAAGCGUUAAUCGGAAUUACUGGGCGUAAAGCGCACGCAGGCGGUCUGUCAAGUCGGAUGUGAAAUCCCCGGGCUCAACCUGGGAACUGCAUUCGAAACUGGCAGGCUAGAGUCGUGUAGAGGGGGGUAGAAUUCCAGGUGUAGCGGUGAAAUGCGUAGAGAUCUGGAGGAAUACCGGUGGCGAAGGCGGCCCCCUGACAAAGACUGACGCUCAGGUGCGAAAGCGUGGGGAGCAAACAGGAUUAGAUACCCGGGUAGUC